GCUUGGCACAGAGGGAAAAAAACAACGCGCCUCUAUUGUUGAGGGUGCCUUGUACCUGGGCCGCGAAGUGCGGCGGAGCUGAGACCCCGCGGGAGGGACGGGGCAGCGCCGGCCCCGGCCUGGCCUCAGGGGGUUUGGGCAGGAAGAUCCAGCCUGGGGCCGGGGCAGCUCGGCCUCCGUUCCCCCGGGAUGCGGGAGGGGACGAGGCAGCUCCGGGGUCCGGCCGUGCGGGGAGAAGGAGGAGGAGGAGGAAAGCGGCGAGGCAGGGUAAUGCGUGGAGAAGCAGCCUCGCUCAUGCAAGAUGUUGAUGGAAUUUACUAUAUUAUUAAAGGAAAAAAAAUCCCCUUUCAGGAAUAAAGUGUAUCAACUUACAACACAACAGACGGCAGAGGGAUAAGUGAAACAGACAAAAGACAAACAAGAUAAUAAUCUGUUUCCAA